GCAAGUAUCCGCGAUCCAGUGAGCAUGCCCUAGGUACCCUAAUCUAGGUCGAUAGGGGCGGGCAUCAGGCACACCAAUACGUAGCCCAAGACGCCUAGCAAUUGCCACGCCCCCACGGGUAUUCAGCAGUAGUUAAUAUUAAGCCAUGAGUGCAAACUUGACUUAGUCAUAGCAAUUUAGGGGCGGUAAAUCCUGUGCCAGCCACCGCGGUCAUACAGGAGACCCAAAUUAACUUUAUAACGGCGUAAAGUGUGGUACAAUGCUAUCCAAGUAACUAAGAUUAAAAAGCAACUGAGCUGUCAUAAGCACAAGAUGCUCCAUAAGGCCGCUAUUCAAAGAAAAUCUUAGACCAACGAUUAAUUGAAAUCCACGAAAGCCAGGGCCCAAACUGGGAUUAGAUACCCCACUAUGCCUGGCCCUAAAUCUUGAUACUCGAUCUUACCGGAGUAUCCGCCCGAGAACUACGAGCGCAAACGCUUAAAACUCUAAGGACUUGGCGGUGUCCCAAACCCACCUAGAGGAGCCUGUUCUAUAAUCGAUGAUCCACGAUAUACCUUACCAUUCCUUGCCAAAUCAGCCUAUAUACCGCCGUCUCCAGCCCACCCACCAUGAAGGACCAACAGUGGACGCAAUAGCCCUACUACGCUAAUAAGACAGGUCAAGGUAUAGCCUAUGGAAUGGGAGCAAUGGGCUACAUUUUCUAGAAUAGAACAUCACGGCAAAGGGAUAUGAAACUAUCCCUGGAAGGCGGAUUUAGCAGUAAAGAGGGACAAUCGAGCCCUCUUUAAGCCGGCUCUGGGGCACGUACAUACCGCCCGUCACCCUCCUCAAAAGCGA
rnacentral:rRNA from 1 species